GGGCAUCCAAGACUUCCUCCUAUUCUCCUCAUGGAUUCUGUAUGUGAUGGGAUGAUUAGAUUCCACUCUCACCAGCACAAUCUCAUCUUUUCUUGCUUACAUCUGCAAAGAGCCUACUUCCAGGUAGUCCUCAGCCCUUCAGGAUGUCUUUACUUCAGAAUGGUGUGUUUCCUGAGAGAGUCUUUACAGAGGUGGUUCCAGUAAAGCAAGGUGAUUAGCACCUUGAUCUCAGUGUGGCAGCCCAAGUAGACGAAGACACUGGUUUCCUCACUUUCCCAGGGUUUUGGGGUUCCAGGAACAUGAGAGAAAAAAGAAAAGUUGAAUGGAAAAGGAAGGAGGCCAGAUGCACUCAUGAAAACCAAGAAGAAACAGCCUUGAUCCCGAGACACAGCAGAGUCCUGGAAGACGGCAGCGUGCAGAGAUCUCUCCAGACCCCAUGCAGAGCCAGUUCCAUCAGGGUGCGUCCUCUCCACCUGCUACAGAUGAACCCCCGGUGGCCACAAGCUUCCAGAAGCAAAACCCAGGUACUCAGGCUCCAGGCCAAUGGUGGAGUGAAGACGAGCUGGCCCUCCCCCUCUCCCCACCCUCCGAGGGUCCUGGCUGUCACGCCCACAAUAUGCCUCCAGGUGCCAUCUCAGCCCAUCAAGAACCUUGAUCCAGAGACUCCCAAAUGAAACUCAAAAUGGAUUCGCUCUCUACAGAGAUGUCUCUGGACCUCAACCAUUUACAGUUUUAGAAUUCCUGGAGACCUCUCCUAGUAUUCAUAAUAAGCAAUAGAAAAUAAAUUAUCUAGCACCUGCCUCUGGCAGGCAGGCUUGA